rnacentral:rRNA from 1 species
CCUACGGGAGGCAGCAGUGAGGAAUAUUGGUCAAUGGACGGAAGUCUGAACCAGCCAUGCCGCGUGCAGGAAGACGGCUCUAUGAGUUGUAAACUGCCUUUGUACGAGGGUAAACGCAGAUACGCGUAUCUGUCUGAAAGUAUCGUAAGAAUAAGGAUCGGCUAACUCCGUGCCAGCAGCCGCGGUAAUACGGAGGAUUCAAGCGUUAUCCGGAUUUAUUGGGUUUAAAGGGUGCGUAGGCGGUCGGAGAAGUUAGAGGUGAAAUCCCGAGGCUCAACUUCGGAAUUGCCUCUGAUACUGUACGGCUAGAGAGUAGUUGCGGUAGGCGGAAUGUAUGGUGUAGCGGUGAAAUGCAUAGAGAUCAUACAGAACACCGAUUGCGAAGGCAGCUUACCAAGCUACUACUGACGUUGAGGCACGAAAGCGUGGGGAGCAAACAGGAUUAGAUACCCCUGUAGUC